UGGCACUUCUUUUGCGCUCGGUUUCGCUCGCGCCUCUCUUUCUGCUCUGGCCUCACGCAAGGGGGAGACUUAGUGGGAGAAAAAGAGAGGGGGGGGCGGUCGAGGGGGGCAGUCUGCUGCUAUUUCUACAGUCCGGGCCUCCCCACCGUCGCUCUCCCGCCCGCCCUUCCAUAGACUGAGUUUUUUUUCCCCCCGCCACUCACCGCUCGCUUGGAUUUUAACCCUCUGCCUCCAACUUGCAGCUCUUGCAAAAAAAAAAAAAAAUGCUGGCAACAAGUUGCUCCUCCUCGAGGCCUUUUUCGGCCACUUUGUUUGCCGCACAUAUUUUUCCUCUUCGAUUCCCACACUUUUGGAUCUGGCCGCUUUCAAGUAUGCAUUUUUCCACAUUUUAUUUGCGGCAAAAAUGUGGUUAUUUUUGUAGAGUUUGUCGAUGUUUUGUCGAGGAUUCGGAUCGGAAACGGAGGUUUCUCACCGCCGCCAUUGCGAGCUGGACCGACCGAAGAGGGGAUACGACCCGCACGCCGUCCCGAUGACUACGCCAACGGCCGUGCGUGGGCCGGCCGAUUUUCGACAAGAUUUAGCGGGGUUUCUUUUUUUUUUCUUGCCCUCCUCUGCCUCCUGCGCGCUGCCGUCCUUCGGCUUCAUCCCGUCCUCCUUUCGGCGCCGCACAACUCCCGACAUGCAGGCGGACGAGCGGCUUUGGGCUGAGCCGAGCCGCCGGAGCGAGCGUUUUUCUGGGACAGCUGCCAAAUGCAAACAAAAGAGGCCAAAAAGCAAGGAGGGAUAAAAAACGCCCGACUUGAACUCGUUGUGGGGCUGCAGCAGGUGGAGGAGGCGGCCAGGCCGGGCCCGGAGCUGAGAUUGGAGCGAGACGGCCGUCGGACGCAGCUCCGGCCGAAAGCGUCGUCGAGAUCGGUCGCCUGGCGGGGACGGGCGAUUGCGUCUGAACGUCAUCAAGAGGCCGAAAGCUGCGAAGACACGGACUGACGCGCUUUCUGCGGUGGAGCUGCUGUUAAAGCUGUACUAACAUCCCGCCAUGUUUCCGAAGAGGCGAGAAACACAUUGAAAAGCUUCCAAGUGAAAAGUUCAAUUUUGAACUAUAUCUUGAAUAAAUGUCAUUUGCAUUCAUUUAUCAAAAUGAAUGCAGGUAAGUUAUCGGUAAGUAAGGCCGUUUUGCUCAGAUUUAUUCCUCACAUUCAGUAAAGAAAUCACUUGUGUCAAGUAACGCUUUUGUGUGUGAAAGCGGCUGACCGGUGAGGAUGGGGUGAAUAUUUCUAGACUGCCCUUUGGGGUGAGGUAGUAGGUUGUAUAGUUUUAGGGUCACACCCUUCCUGUUAGAUAACUAUACAACUUACUGUCUUUCCUGAAGUGGCUGUAAUGUCGUCUGACGAUUGGACCACCACCGAUGACGUUCUCUAAGCAGCAGCACCUCUUAGCGGCGGAUCAUUGUAACUGCACUUUUAGCUCCUUUGCACUCAGUGACCUCAGUUGCCUCAGUUCAGUUCAGGAUGUUUUCAUUGGCCUGGAUUUUGUUUGUCACCGUUUGCAUGCAUGAUGUGUGCCUGCGCUCCUCAUGUGAUGUCCCGCCAUGUUUCUGAUGUUCGUACGGGGUGAGGUAGUAGGUUGUGUGGUUUCGGGGGUCGUGAUUUUGCCCAAUCAGGAGAUAACUAUACAACCUACUGCCUUCCCUGAAGGGCAGCGAUACGUCACCGGGCGGACUUGACCUCCCCACACACACACACACACACACACAAAUAUCGUGCAACUCAGAAUGGCAACCAGCAUUGCAAGGUUUGUAAUUUACUUUUUUUGCUUAACAAUUCAAUAAAAGGCAUGAAAAUAAA